CAAGUAAAAUUCAAUUCCUGACAUCAUGUUGCUCCUAGUCUUGCCUGGGGGCGGAAAGCAGGGUGAGGAGACAAGCAUAACACAAUUCUAACCUUAGGUAGAAGUUUGAAGAUAGAGAAGCGUUUGUGCUCAGAGGAAGAAGGGCCUGACUGUCUGGAAAAGAGAAGGAUCCUCAACUAGCUCUUGGCAUUCAAGCACGGAAAUGCCAGCUGGAAGGGGCAAGUACAAGCUUGGGCAGAGAAGGGGGGAUUCUAUGUAUACAAGAAAUGAUAGAAAGGCAAGUGGCUGGAGAAUAAAGCAAGAAAUGAAGAUUGAAAGCUAUUCAAAAUCUAGGUCUCCAUCCAGGCAAUAGCAAUGAGCUUCAUAAUUCCUCGUUCAUAGAAGGACC